CAUGCAAUGACCUUAUAUUCACAAAGCAUGAACCGGUAGGAAACAUAAAAUCGGAGUUAUAACCCAUUUGUACCCUUUUGCGUUUCUUUUUUUGAAGAGUAUAUAAUAAAUGCCCAAUAUUUUGUCCAUAUCUGGUAGAGCAUGAGCAUACUGGGUAAAUUGUGAAAACGUUGUCAUAACUUUUUAUGAGCAGUAUAUUGAGUUUCUUCAGUGGGGAAUUAAGCUGCAGGUAAAAAGCAUGCAGGCUGUGGGAAAGGUAAAUGUCACCUGUCUGUUCAUCAGUGCAUUUGCCAAGAAGGUUUCCAGCAGGCAAGUUGACUGGGAAAUGGCUCUUAGGAGCUUUUUGGGUUUGAGCGUGAGCCAGAACCACGAGAAUCUUUGGGUUUGAGCGUGAGCCAGAACCAUGAGAAGAAUGUGAGCUACGAGAGCUAUGAUAGCUAUGUGAGCUAUAACUGGGUGUGAGGGAUGACACAGAUGUGACCAGCGGAACUGUAGGAGGACCAUCUGCAAGAGAUGUCUACAGACUAGCGUGGUGGCGGACUGUUGUUAGGAUGUCUGCAAGAGAUGUCAACAGCCAACCAUCCAAGAUGUGCUAGUGUCUGGUCGACAUCAAGAUAUUGAUAGUAUUCGCAAUGACAGUGAAUUUCAGAUGAGUUUAUACUGAUACAAACUGAACUGGUUUAACAUGAUUAUUUAACUAAGGCUCGAACAUUGACUAGAAGCUAGUUGGCUCAGACUGGUUUACCAUGGACACCAGAUUAGUUUUUUGGGGGGUUUAAUUUAAGGUUGGGGUAGUGAUAUUUGGAGUGAAAUCGUCAUUGUGUAUAUUUAUAUUUUGUAUAUACAUUUGUUGAAAUGU
rnacentral:lncRNA from 1 species